rnacentral:rRNA from 1 species
AAUAAAUUAUGAGUUUAAGGUUAAAGUAUUAAAUGUUAAAUCAUUAAAUUUAUGAAAUUUGGCGGUAUUUUAUUCAAAUUAGAGGAACUUGUUUUGUAAUUGAUAAACCACGAUAAGAGUAACUUAAUAUAAUAUUUAUGUAUUGCUGUUUUUAGGUAUAUUUUAAUAAUAUUACUUAAAUUUAAAAUAAAUAAAAUAAUUCAAGUCAAAAUAUAGUAUUAUUAAGAUAAAUAAUGAGUUACAAUAAAUUUAAAUUUUGGAUUUAAUAAUUUAACUAAUUUUUAAUGAAAUUGGAUUUAAAAGUAAAUUUAAUAAAUUUAUUAAGUUGAAAUAUUGUAUUAAAAUAUGU